rnacentral:misc_RNA from 1 species
AUAGCAUUGACCCUCUCACAAAAAUUAAUGGUUUAAUUGCACUCUAUUAGAGCAAUUUUUAAAUAUAAAACAUGGUAUCGUCAAAAUAUAUAGACAAUGAUUCUAAACUAUUUUUCGAAUUAAUUUUUAUAUAUAACAUUGACCCCUGAAAAAAAUUUUCUAGCCCCCUCAAAAUAUAUAGUUUACAUAUAACGUGAGUAUAAACUAUGACCAUAUAUUUGUUAAAUUUGUGAUUGUCAAGUUUAAUAGAAUCUUCUACGCUAUUCUGCCUGCAUAAAUGGGUGUAGCUGUUACACAAUUGAACUACUUUUGAUGAUAACUGUUUACUGCAGCUUGGCAGAGCAUUGUUCAACCA